rnacentral:sRNA from 12 species
GUCCUAUACAGAUGUAUUCAACGCUAGUCAGUUGGGCAUCUCCCUUUAGGAUGAAGUUUAUUAGAAGCUCUGGCAACAAUUUUCAUUGUGUGGCUCUACGGUCGAAAUGAGAUGAGUCAGAGUGGAAUAGGUUAACUGUAAGACCUUGAGUUGAAAAACUCUAAAAUUGAGCUAGAGAUGUGGAUUCCUAAUUUUCUCAUUUUCUAGUUACGGUGUG